rnacentral:lncRNA from 1 species
AAACAUUCCAAAGCAAUAUUUUUUUGAAAAUUGCUCCAAAAUGUCAUUGUAUGGUGUCAGAUUGUUUGAACCAUUCUACUACUGAUGAAUACUUAAUUUGUUUUCAAACUUUCGCCAUUUCAAACAAUGCUGCAGUGAACAGCCAUAUACAAAUGUUAUUUUGUAUACAUGUAGGUAUAAUGGAAGGAUAAAUUCCUAGAAAUGAAAUUGUUGAGUAUGCUGUAUUGCUCUCCAUAGAGGUUAUACCAACUGGCAGCAGUACCUGCAAUGUAGACCUUAUUCAGAAUUAUACUGUAGGUUGUAACUGUUACUGUGAUUUUAUCUUCACCACCAUUCUAAAGAGUAUAUACUAUCUUGCUAAUGUAAGAUGAAGAAAUUGGUGCUUGAGCUGGCUCAUGACCUGCCUAAAACCAUACGACCAGUAAUAGGAUUCUGCCAAGUCAGAAGCACUCUCCAACAUAGUCUCUCUUUCUCUUAAAGACAAAGAAGAAACCACUAUUUUUUGAAGCAUCAGAUUGUGAAUCUGUUGACAGAAGCCAGAAGGCAACUCAAGGACUCUGACUCAGUUCACCCAGGGAGAAGUUUAAAAGGGAAGUCGCACAGUUAUGUGGACUCUAUCGCAAGAAGAAUUACUAGUGAUGGAAGACAGUAUGAGAAGUAUCUUUGUUGUAGGUUGUGGUUGAAGCAGAGGAACUCACCUUCCUCAGAAAUUAAUGGAGGCUUUCAAUCUUGCUGGCACUGCUACUUUAUCAUUCAUAUGACUAAACAGACAAUCAAUUUAGUGGCGAUGUAUGGGAAUGAAGAGAAAGAACAAAUAAGCUGUGAAUGAUGAGAACAGAAAAAUCAAAACCCCCUCCCUUAUUCUUUUUUAAUGGCUAAUACCAACAGGGACAAGACCAGUAAAAAGAGGUUAAUGAAUUGCAAAGAUCCUUUAGAAAGUGAUUGACUGGUAUUGAAGCACAGUCAAAUCAGUCAUAAAUAUUUACUUUUAUUAGCAACAGUGGGUUGCCUGUUAUUUUCAAUUGAUUUUUAAAGCUG